GGUGAGUAACACGUGGGCAAUUUGCCCUUCAGCCUGGGAAUAAGCCCUCAGAAAGGGGGUCUAAUACCGGAUAAUAUCUUAUGGCGGCAUCGCUGAAAGAUCAAAGGCGGGGUAACCUGUCACUGAAGGAUGAGCCCGCGUUCCAUUAGCCUGUUGGUGAGGUAACGGCCCACCAAGGCGACGAUGGAUAGCCGGCCUGAGAGGGUGAUCGGCCACACUGGGACUGAGAUACGGCCCAGACUCCUACGGGAGGCAGCAGUAGGGAAUAUUGCGCAAUGGACGAAAGUCUGACGCAGCAACGCCGCGUGGGUGACGAAGCUCUUUGGAGUGUAAAACCCUGUCAGCGGGGACGAACCGAUCGGAGAGUAACUGCUCCGAUUCUGACGGUACCCGCGGAGGAAGUUCCGGCCAACUCCGUGCCAGCAGCCGCGGUAAUACGGGGGGAACAAGCGUUGUUCGGAUUUACUGGGCGUAAAGGGCGUGCAUGCGGAUUUUCAAGUCGGAUGUGAAAACCGUAGGCUUA
rnacentral:rRNA from 1 species